UGAAUAGUGACUGAGAAGCAGCAGGCUACAGUUCUUUUCCUCUGAAGAAUUUAGUGUGAGAUUUUUCUUUUCCAAUGUAAGAGCAUCCAGAAUGAAGAGUCUGUUGUAUUCAUACCCAGGACAUUUGCUGGAAAGACCAAUGAAUGACUGGCUAGGAAGAAGAACAGAUAAUAAUGUGUCUAACCCUUCACUGGGUCCUACCUUUGCAUAAGCAGAUCUGUGCAAACUGUAGGUUGCUGGAAAAUAAGGACACUAUCACAGAAUGUUUAAGGGCACCUUACUACCUCCAAAUUGAGUUGGUAGGACAAUAUCUCAAAAUGUCAGAGGUAUCCAAACAACAACCAGCUGAAGUAAUCACCUCUUGUCUGAUGGAGACUUGUUGGCACAGAUAA
rnacentral:lncRNA from 1 species